AUUAACGCUGGCGGCGUGCCUAACACAUGCAAGUCGAACGAACCUUUUAGACGGAUUUCCUUCUGGGAUGAAGGGUUUAACACUGAAUGGCGGACGGGAGAAUAACGCGUGGGCAACCUGCCCCCUACCGGGGGACAACACCCGGAAACGGCUGCUAAUACCCUAUACGUUUUACCGACCGCAUGGACCUUAAAACAAAACACCGGUGGUACUGGAUGGGCCCGCUUCGGAUUAUCACGUUGGCGGGGUGCCCGCCCACCAAGGCGACGAUCAAUAGCCAGCCGGAGAGGGCGGCCGGACACAUUGGGACUAAUACACCGCCAAGACUCCUGCGGGAGGCAGCCGUGGGGAAUAAUGCACUGAGGGGGAAACCCCGCUGCAGCGACGCCGCGUUGAGCGAAGAAUACCUCUGUAUGUAAGGCUCUGUCAACAGGGAACAAGAUGACGGUACCUGACUAAGAAGCCCCGGCUAACUACGUGCCAGCAGCCGCGGUAAUACGUAGGGGGCAAGCGUUAUCCGGAUUUACUGGGUGUAAAGGGAGCGCAGGCGGCACGUCAAGUCAGAUGUGAAAGCCCGGGGCUCAACCCCGGGACUGCUUUGGAAACUACCGGGCUGGAGUGUCGGAGGGGUAAGCGGAAUUCUUGGUGUAGCGGUGAAAUGCGUAGAUAUCAGGAGGAACACCAGUGGCGAAGGCGGCUUGCUGGACGUUAACUGACGUUGAGGCUCGAAAGCGUGGGGAGCA
rnacentral:rRNA from 1 species